rnacentral:tRNA from 1 species
GGGAGAGCUGCUAAGAUGAUGGUUUAGCACUAGACUGUAAAUCUAGUCCCUCUGGGUAAACAUUGUAGGUUUGAAUCCUACCUCUCUCA